rnacentral:rRNA from 1 species
AACGAACGCUGGCGGCAGGCUUAACACAUGCAAGUCGAGCGCCCCGCAAGGGGAGCGGCAGACGGGUGAGUAACACGUGGGAAUCUACCCAUCUCUACGGAACAACCCAGGGAAACUUGGACUAAUACCGUAUACGCCCUUCGGGGGAAAGAUUUAUCGGAGAUGGAUGAGCCCGCGUUGGAUUAGCUAGUUGGUGGGGUAAUGGCCUACCAAGGCGACGAUCCAUAGCUGGUCUGAGAGGAUGAUCAGCCACACUGGGACUGAGACACGGCCCAGACUCCUACGGGAGGCAGCAGUGGGGAAUAUUGGACAAUGGGCGCAAGCCUGAUCCAGCCAUGCCGCGUGAGUGAUGAAGGCCCUAGGGUUGUAAAGCUCUUUCGCCGGUGAAGAUCAUGACGGUAACCUGAGAAGAAGCCCCGGCUAACUUCGUGCCAGCCGCCGCUGUAAAAC